GGCGGCAGGCCUAACACAUGCAAGUCGAACGGUAACAGGAAGCAGCUUGCUGCUUCGCUGACGAGUGGCGGACGGGUGAGUAAUGUCUGGGAAACUGCCUGAUGAGGGGGAUAACUACUGGAAACGGUAGCUAAUACCGCAUAACGUCGCAAGACCAAAGAGGGGGACCUUCGGGCCUCUUGCCAUCAGAUGUGCCCAGAUGGGAUUAGCUAGUUGGUGGGGUAACGGCUCACCAAGGCGACGAUCCCUAGCUGGUCUGAGAGGAUGACCAGCCACACUGGAACUGAGACACGGUCCAGACUCCUACGGGAGGCAGCAGUGGGGAAUAUUGCACAAUGGGCGCAAGCCUGAUGCAGCCAUGCCGCGUGUAUGAAGAAGGCCUUCGGGUUGUAAAGUACUUUCAGCGGGGAGGAAGGUGUUGUGGUUAAUAACCGCAGCAAUUGACGUUACCCGCAGAAGAAGCACCGGCUAACUCCGUGCCAGCAGCCGC
rnacentral:rRNA from 1 species